GAGUUCGCGGGAGAGUAAGUUAUUGCCAGGGUUUUUAUUUUAUACUUUAAACAUUGAUUUAUUUUUUUAUGUUUUUAGAUGUUCAUGUUUUUGAAUGUUUUAUUCGAAUAAUAUAAAAAAUAAAAUAUAUAUUGACAUGGAUUAAACAAAGAUAUAUAUUAUUCUAUGUUGUAUAAACAAAUUGGCAAAAUAGAGAUGGAAGAUAAAAAUAUGGUCAAAGUAAUAAGAGUCUAUGGUGAAUGCC
rnacentral:misc_RNA from 1 species